rnacentral:lncRNA from 1 species
GUGACCUAUUGCAUGGUCGCAUCAAUUAUCAUGUUUGCAUUCGUGUGGGCGUGGAGGUUCAUUAGUGGACUUUCUUCUAUCGUAAAUUACUGCUAUUUUAAGUCGUUUUUUAAUGGCGUGCAGCCGGGCUGGCGGUAUUUCUUUGGAGUCUUUACGGUUGGGGAUUUUUUCGUGGUUUUUUCUCUUCUCAAUCUCCAGCGACUCUCUUGUCCUUCCUUGUUGUAUGUUGUCCACCUGUUUUAUCAGUUUGGCUUGUCUCCAUCGUACUUCGGUAUUACUUGUAUAACAUUCUUCAGCUAGCGCUGUAGUCAGGUUCCCUUCCCUCACGUCUCGUUUGUGUUCGUCCAAUCUCUCUUGUAAUGUCCUUCCU